ensembl:snRNA U6 U6 spliceosomal RNA
GUGCUGACUUUGGCAGCAGGUAUACUAAAAUUGGAAUGACAUGGAGGAGAUUAGCAUGGCCCCCUGCCUAAGGAAGAUCCGCAGAUUCAUGCAGCAUUCCAUAUUUUU